rnacentral:rRNA from 1 species
AGUGAACGCUGGCGGUAGGCCUAACACAUGCAAGUCGAACGGCAGCACAGUAAGAGCUUGCUCUUACGGGUGGCGAGUGGCGGACGGGUGAGGAAUACAUCGGAAUCUACUUUUUCGUGGGGGAUAACGUAGGGAAACUUACGCUAAUACCGCAUACGACCUACGGGUGAAAGCAGGGGAUCUUCGGACCUUGCGCGAUUGAAUGAGCCGAUGUCGGAUUAGCUAGUUGGCGGGGUAAAGGCCCACCAAGGCGACGAUCCGUAGCUGGUCUGAGAGGGUGAUCAGCCACACUGGAACUGAGACACGGUCCAGACUCCUACGGGAGGCAGCAGUGGGGAAUAUUCGACAAUGGGCGCAAGCCUGAUCCAGCCAUACCGCGUGGGUGAAGAAGGCCUUCGGGUUGUAAAGCCCUUUUGUUGGGAAAGAAAAGCAGCAGGUUAAUACCCCGCUGUUCUGACGGUACCCAAAGAAUAAGCACCGGCUAACUUCGUG